rnacentral:sRNA from 1 species
CCGAAAAUGAAAAGGAAUUUCUUUGGCACAACCGAUUUGGACACUUAAAUUUUAACGAUUUAAAGAAAUUGGAAGCACAUCACAUGGUGCGAGGCUUAGAAGUUUCCGUUUCAUUUAAGUUGUGAAAUUUCAAAAUAAGAAUGAAAAUAAAAUCAAAAUCACGUACGCUUGUGGAGAAAUAUAAGAAGAAACAACAAGGUUUCAAUGAAAUCAUAAAAAUCAUUAAAACUCCAGAAGAAGAGAAACACGUUUCAAAAGAGGGUAAAAAUAAAACCCAAAAGAAAACAUUCAGCGGUGACAAUUGGUGCCACUCACCUAAGGCUGAUUAAAAGAAAUCUGGUAAGAGUCAAACCCAGCAUUGCCUCUUUGAUGAAAGGCAGAAGAUGACGAUUAGGAUGUGGUUGACGUCUUUGACGUUUUACGGGAGAUGGUGACGAUGAUGUUGAUAAAGAAAAUCUAAGUGGAUCAGUUUAUAAACAAAUCAUUAGGAAUAUUUUUGUUUUUGGUUUUGUGCAUUCGUUUUUAUUUCUUUUGUUCGUUA